rnacentral:rRNA from 1 species
UACGUAGGUGGCGAGCGUUGUCCGGAAUCAUUGGGCGUAAAGAGCGCGUAGGCGGCUUGUCAGGUCCGACGUGAAAUCUCGGGGCUCAACCCCGAAAGUGCAUCGGAAACCGGCUUGCUAGAGUCUGGGAGAGGAGAGUGGAAUUCCUGGUGUAGCGGUGAAAUGCGCAGAUAUCAGGAGGAACACCGGUAGCGAAGGCGGCUCUCUGGAACAGUACUGACGCUGAGGCGCGAAAGCUAGGGGAGCAAACAGGAUUAGAUACCCUGGUAGUCCUAGCCCUAAACGAUGGACACUAGGUGUCGGGAGUGUCGACUCUCCCGGUGCCGAAGCUAACGCAUUAAGUGUCCCGCCUGGGGAGUACGGCCGCAAGGCUA